UGGGGGAUAUUGCACAAUGGGCGAAAGCCUGAUGCAGCGACGCCGCGUGGGGGAUGAAGGCCUUCGGGUUGUAAACUUCUUUUGCUCUGAACAAGGCAUGCUAAUGGGUGUGUUGAGUGUAGGGGUUGAUUAGCGCCGGCUAACUACGUGCCAGCAGCCGCGGUAAUACGUAGGGCGCGAGCGUUGUCCGGAAUUAUUGGGCGUAAAGGGCUUGUAGGUGGCUGGUUGCGUCUGUCGUGAAAGCUCAUGGCUUAACUGUGGGUUUGCGGUGGGUACGGGCUGGCUUGAGUGCAGUAGGGGAGGCUGGAAUUCCUGGUGUAGUGGUGGAAUGCGCAGAUAUCAGGAGGAAUACCGGUGGCGAAGGCGGGUCUCUGGGCUGUUACUGACACUGAGGAGCGAAAGCAUGGGGAGCGAACAGG
rnacentral:rRNA from 1 species